rnacentral:rRNA from 1 species
UACAGAGGGUGCAAGCGUUAAUCGGAAUUACUGGGCGUAAAGCGCGCGUAGGUGGUUUGUUAAGUUGGAUGUGAAAUCCCCGGGCUCAACCUGGGAACUGCAUUCAAAACUGACAAGCUAGAGUAUGGUAGAGGGUGGUGGAAUUUCCUGUGUAGCGGUGAAAUGCGUAGAUAUAGGAAGGAACACCAGUGGCGAAGGCGACCACCUGGACUAUACUGACACUGAGGUGCG